GAUGAACGCUGGCGGCGUGCUUAACACAUGCAAGUCGAGCGGAAAGGCUCCUGCUUGCAGGGGUACUCGAGUGGCGAACGGGUGAGCAACACGUGGGUGAUCUGCCCUGCACUUCGGGAUAAGCCUGGGAAACUGGGUCUAAUACCGGAUAGGACCACAUUUUGGAUGGUGUGGUGGAAAGUUUUUCGGUGUGGGAUGAGCUCGCGGCCUAUCAGCUUGUUGGUGGGGUAAUGGCCUACCAAGGCGUCGACGGGUAGCCGGCCUGAGAGGGUGUACGGCCACAUUGGGACUGAGAUACGGCCCAGACUCCUACGGGAGGCAGCAGUGGGGAAUAUUGCACAAUGGGCGGAAGCCUGAUGCAGCGACGCCGCGUGGGGGAUGACGGCCUUCGGGUUGUAAACUCCUUUCGCUAGGGACGAAGCGCAAGUGACGGUACCUGGAGAAGAAGCACCGGCUAACUACGUG
rnacentral:rRNA from 1 species